GGUAAAAUGGCUGAGAUUAUAGGUGAUAGAUUGUAAAUCUAUUUAGGAGAAUUUUUUUUCUUUUUUACCA
rnacentral:tRNA from 1 species